UACAGAGGUCCCAAGCGUUGUUCGGAUUCACUGGGCGUAAAGGGUGCGUAGGUGGUGGCUUAAGUCGGAUGUGAAAUCUCCGGGCUCAACCCGGAGCGGUCAUCCGAAACUGGGCCGCUAGAGGAUGGGAGGGGAGACUGGAAUUCUCGGUGUAGCAGUGAAAUGCGUAGAUAUCGAGAGGAACACCCGUGGCGAAGGCGAGUCUCUGGACCAUUCCUGACGCUGAGGCACGAAAGCCAGGGGAGCAAACAGG
rnacentral:rRNA from 1 species